CAAAAUAAAACAGGAAACCAACCCAAACCGUGACAGCAAGUGCUGCAGUGACUUUGUCUGUUGGUAUUUUCUUAAGGGUCAACUGAAGAAAGAAUGCUUCCUAGAUGAAAAAAAAGGUCACACGCAGCCUCCCAUGAACCACGAGGAUCAUAUCUCCCCAUUCAUCACGUGCACAGCAUGAUCCAGGCAAGACUGAGAAGAGUCAUCUUUCAUGGGCCAGAACAAGAACACAACACCACAAAACAGAUAGGCACCUAAAACCGCUCGACACAACUGCUCCGUGCGUAGUAACCAAUGAGAGACUGGACAUCAUUUAUAAGACUGUUAUUUGUGAAGCAAUAUUCUUAGGAAGAGACCUGAC
ensembl:lncRNA